rnacentral:rRNA from 1 species
CCUACGGGAGGCAGCAGUGGGGAAUAUUGCGCAAUGGGCGAAAGCCUGACGCAGCGACGCCGCGUGAGGGAUGAAGGUCUUCGGAUCGUAAACCUCUGUCAGCAGGGAAGAACGGUCACUGUGCUAAUCAGCAGUGAAUUGACGGUACCUGCAAAGGAAGCACCGGCUAACUCCGUGCCAGCAGCCGCGGUAAUACGGAGGGUGCGAGCGUUAAUCGGAAUUACUGGGCGUAAAGCGCUCGUAGGCGGUAUGUCAAGUCAAGGGUGAAAUCCCCGCGCUCAACGUGGGAACUGCCUUUGAAACUGGCAAACUGGAGUGUGGGAGAGGAUAGUGGAAUUCCAGGUGUAGGAGUGAAAUGCGUAGAUAUCUGGAGGAACAUCAGUGGCGAAGGCGACUAUCUGGCACAUAACUGACGCUGAGGAGCGAAAGCGUGGGUAGCAAACAGGAUUAGAUACCCCGGUAGUC